UGGGACUAUCUUGGAUUAGCUAGGAUUGGACUAAGUUAGAUUAAGUACUGACCUACGUUUGAUGCUGUGUUGAACUAAGAAGCUGGAUUGUAAAAAUAGUGAAGAUCUAUGUUUGGUGUUGUGUCGGACUAAAACUAAUAAUUUUAAUAUUUAAUUUUAAUUAAGGAUUUUGACCUAAAAAUAAACAAAAAGAAAAUAAAGAAAAUAUUAAUAUUUUUUAAUGACUAAAACUAUCUUAUCUCUUUUUUUUUUUCUCGUUGUUCUCCUUUUUCUUUCUUCCUUCCUCUUCUCUCCUUUGUUUUUUCUUCCUUGGCCCAUUUUUUUUUCUUUCUUCUAUCCCAGGCCGUUUCUUUUUUCUUUCUUUCUUUCUUUCUUCCUAUUCUUUCCUUUCUCUUUUCUUCUUCCUUCCCUCCUUUUCACUCUCUCUUCAUGCUGCCGCAUAUCCAAUUGAACCAUCAACCCUCUCUCUCUCUCUCUCUCUCUCUCUCUCUCUCUCUCUCUCUCUCUCUCUCUCUCUCUCUCUCUCUCUAGUUCUACUAAUUAAUGGUUGUGGUGGUUCGAAUGGGCGGUGAUGGUGGUUGAGCUGGUUAUGUGGUGGUGGUGAUGGUUCGAUUGACUGAUUGGGUGAUGAUGAUGAUUCGAUUGGGUUUAUGGUGGCUGGUUAUGGAUUUGAUGGUGGUGGUCUGACGGUCUUAGCGUCAUGGUGGUGGUGGUAUCCAACCAGACUCGCGUGUUCAAAAUAGCACCCACACUAUUUUGCAAACCACGUUUCGAGCUCGCUAUAUUAGACAAGCGAGUCUGAUGUUUUUUUCCCCAUCGGACUAUACAAUCCUAUUCAACUUAAUCCUAUCUCUUACCAAACAUGGGUUUUGAUGGGUAUUUUUAUAUUAUAUAUUUAACCCUAUUCUUAAUAUAUUUUGGUUAAUAUUUUGGAAGAAUUUUGAUACUUUGAAUUAUAUUUUCAAUAUAGGGCUUUUGACUUCCUCUGGAGUAAAACGUAAUCAAAUGGACGAAUUUUGGAGUAAUUCCAGUUGGAGGACGUUUGUGAGCCACUUAGCUUGAAAUUUCAGAUUUUUCUACCAAGCGGUUAUUUUCUGGCAAUAAAAUAAAGGAGUAGUGUGCGAUGCUGG
rnacentral:lncRNA from 1 species